AGCGAACGUUUGCGGCGGGCCUAACACAUGCAAGUCGAACGGGCUAGCAAUAGUCAGUGGCGCACGGGUGCGUAACACGUGGGUAAUCAACCCUUCAGCUCGGGAUAACGCCUUGAAAGGGGCGCUAAUACCGGAUACGACGCGAGGAGCUUCGGCUGCUAGCGGGAAAGAUUCGCAAGGAUCUCUGAAGGACGAGCCUGCGGCCCAUCAGCUAGUUGGUGAGGUAAGAGCUCACCAAGGCGAAGACGGGUAGCUGGUCUGAGAGGAUGAUCAGCCACACUGGAACUGAGACACGGUCCAGACUCCUACGGGAGGCAGCAGUGGGGAAUAUUGCGCAAUGGGCGAAAGCCUGACGCAGCCACGCCGCGUGAGCGAUGAAGGCC
rnacentral:rRNA from 1 species